CCCUAACAACACACAACAUUCCAGGAAUGUACUACCAAAGUUCUAUCAAUAUUUGAAUGUCCUGGACAUUUAGGGAACAUUCGGUGAACAUCUGUUUAAAUUAUUCCUGGAAUGUUACCAUAAGACAUUCUGUGAACAUACUACCAAUGUUCCUAUAUUUUAAGUUGCGAAAUAAUACAUACGUGUAACAGAUACAACAUUACUUAUAACAUACCAGACAAACUAAGUGACACUUUAGGCCUACAGUGCAAUAAUAUGUCAAAUUUAAAGAGUUUCCCAAGUUCAAUUAAUACAAUAUUAUAAACAUACAAAUGUAAUAAAAAUUAUUGUUCGCGAAUAUUCAAUUUGGAAUGCGAUUUUGUUAAUAAAAAAAAUACUUAUAACUUAUGCAAAACCCAAGAGAGGCAUUUAUAUUUAUUUCUUUUGCGUUCAUUUUCAAAUUCGCCGUGCAUAUAUUUUUGUGCAUGGCGCUUGAGAGGGCAUCACGUGACUAAAAACGACCAACCAACGACCUCGCUUCGGCCAUCUUGGCAUCUUCAUCUUGGCCACCUUGCUUUGCCGUGGGUGGAUCGUUGUUUGAUUGUUUGUAUUAUUUGUGCUUUUUAAGAAUAUUUUUUUAAUUCGGAUACUUUUAUAAUAGCUUUAAUAGUAUUAUUAACAUAGUGAAUAAAAUGGUGUCCUGUUUUUAACGCAGUUGGAGUAGCAGAAACAAAUGUAGAUAAAAAAAUCUGCAGGAAUAACGUUUCAAUUAUGACAGAAGCUCCAAACAAAUGACUGCGAAUGAAAAGGUUAGUAUGCAAAUAUGUAAACGAAGGCAUGCCCUGUAUUUCAGAAAAUAAAUUAAUACUAUUAAUACCCUAAUAAUACUAUUCAUAAAAAAUCUUUUAAGUAACCUAGAUAUAACAAAGUGAAUAAAAGGCAUAAAUCAGAAGAAUUAUUAUUUUAUUUUAUAAGUUAAUAAUUGGUCAUAUCCAUUUAUUAUUUUAAUAAUAAUUGUGAAUAAGCCACAAACUUCGCUUAUUCCUAACUAAAAUAGUAAAUAGAGAUAAUAACAAUAGGAUUUGUAAAACUAAAGUAAUUCUUUUUGCGUUUUUGCUAAUGUAUGCCUUUAUAAAUAGGAUGGUAGACCACACACUAUAAUAUGCAGUACCAACUAAUGAAUACACAGAAUAUUAUAGUCGAUUUGCUAAACUCAGUCUCAGUACUACUGAGUCUCAGACACAACUGGCUAGUGAUUUUAGUAAAUAAUUUUGCCAAUUUGGUAAAAUUGGCAAAAAAAAAAUAACUAAAUAGUUAAUAAUUACUGUAAUUUUGGCAAAAUUGGCCAAAAACAAAAAAAAAUUACCUACUAAAAUCACUAGCCAGUUGUGUCAGAGUUUGGGGAACCGACUAUACUAAUAAACAAUUUCUAAGCUGUUUUAUAAUAUUUUGUGAGUCCAUUAAUCAUAUUUUUUAUUUAAAACUAAAAUUUGUUAAUAAUGCUUAGUAAUGCAUAUAUUUUGUAUUUUUAGCUUUCCAGAAGAUCCUGCGAAGAAGACAUGAAGUAUAGAUCAGAUUUGUUAAUAGAGGAGUAUGUUCAAAACACUUUUUAGAAAAAGAUAUUGACAGAACUUCACUUUCAUCUGUUCGUUUAAGAGACUGUGCUGUUCCAAUAGCUUAUGUCACACAGAAUCAGCUGAGAGAAGUGGUCUACAAAAAACCAGAAAGGAAACGGAAUAUGUGGCUACGAAAAGCAAAAGAAAGGUUUACAAAGCAAAUGUGAGACAUUUUUUUAUAAUAUUUAGGAAUGUCAGUAAAUUACAUUAAAAAAUGUAUGUAAAGAUUUUUUGCAAUAAAAAUGUUUAUAUUUA